rnacentral:rRNA from 1 species
UACGUAGGGGGGCAAGCGUUGUCCGGAAUCAUUGGGCGUAAAGCGCGUGUAGGCGGCUUGAUAAGUCUGCUCUGAAAGCCCGGGGCUCAACCCUGGGAGGCGGGUGGAUACUGUCGAGCUCGAGUCCGGAAGAGGCGAGUGGAAUUCCUGGUGUAGCGGUGAAAUGCGCAGAUAUCAGGAGGAACACCAAUGGCGAAGGCAGCUCGCUGGGACGGUACUGACGCUGAGACGCGAAAGCGUGGGGAGCAAACAGG